CUUCAGUUUGUGGCCAUCAGAGACUUGGGCUGGUCCUGUCCAAUCCCACAUUCCUGUUGGAACUGAGCUCCAUGGCCAGGGGAACUGGGAAGAGGCAGAACCUCACAACAGGAGCUGUGCAGUGAAGAUGAUCUCACCACAACCAUAUCAAGGAGGAAGAGUUGACAAAGUAGCUGAUAGGACGGGAAAUGUUUCCACUUGUGAACCAUGA
rnacentral:lncRNA from 1 species